GACGAACGCUGGCGGCGUGCUUAACACAUGCAAGUCGAACGGAAAGGCCCUGCUUUUGUGGUGUGCUCGAGUGGCGAAAGGGUGAGUAACACGUUAGUAACCUGCCCUUUACUUUGGGAUAACUUCAGGAAACUGGGGCUAAUACCGGAUAGGAGCUCCUGCUGCAUGGUGGGGGUUGGAAAGUUUCGGCUGUUGGGGAUGGACUCGCGGCUUAUCAGCUUGUUGGUGGGGUAGUGGCUUACCAAGGCUUUGACGGGUAGCCGGCCUGAGAGGGUGACCGGCAACAUUGGGCCUGAGAUACGGCCCAGACUCCUACGGGAGGCAGCAGUGGGGAAUAUUGCACAAUGGGCGGAAGCCUGAUGCAGCAACGCCGCGUGCGGGAUGACGGCCUUCGGGUUGUAAACCGCUUUCGCCUGUGACGAAGCGUGAGGGACGGUAAUGGGUAAAGAAGCACCGGCUAACUACGU
rnacentral:rRNA from 1 species